AAAGUAAUUUCUUGGCUGCAAAUACCUCUCUCUGAGAAGUACAGAAAAAUUGAACUUUUCGAUCGUAGAAUGCGUGUCGAAAUCCGUCGAAUUUCAGUCUUCAAGCACAAAAAUGGAUUUUUUUUAAAUUGGGUGA